GACGAACGCUGGCGGCGUGCUUAACACAUGCAAGUCGAGCGGUAAGGCUCCUUCGGGAGUACACGAGCGGCGAACGGGUGAGUAACACGUGAGCAAUCUGCCCUUCUCAUCGGAAUAACCAUUGGAAACGAUGGCUAAUGCCGAAUAUGACCUCGGAUCACAUGUUCUGAGGUGGAAAGCUCCGGCGGAGAAGGAUGAGCUCGCGGCCUAUCAGCUUGUUGGUGAGGUAAUAGCUCACCAAGGCGAUGACGGGUAGCCGGCCUGAGAGGGUGACCGGCCACACUGGGACUGAGACACGGCCCAGACUCCUACGGGAGGCAGCAGUGGGGAAUAUUGGACAAUGGGCGAAAGCCUGAUCCAG
rnacentral:rRNA from 1 species